UGGGGAAUAUUACACAAUGGGCGCAAGCCUGAUGCAGCGACGCCGCGUGGGGGAUGACGGCCUUCGGGUUGUAAACCUCUUUCAGCAUCGACGAAGCGCAAGUGACGGUAGAUGCAGAAGAAGCACCGGCCAACUACGUGCCAGCAGCCGCGGUAAUACGUAGGGUGCGAGCGUUGUCCGGAAUUACUGGGCGUAAAGAGCUCGUAGGUGGUUUGUCGCGUUGUUCGUGAAAACUCACAGCUUAACUGUGGGCGUGCGGGCGAUACGGGCAGACUGGAGUACUGCAGGGGAGACUGGAAUUCCUGGUGUAGCGGUGGAAUGCGCAGAUAUCAGGAGGAACACCGGUGGCGAAGGCGGGUCUCUGGGCAGUAACUGACGCUGAGGAGUGAAAGCGUGGGGAGCGAACA
rnacentral:rRNA from 1 species